CGGGGUGGAGUAAUGUCUGGGAAACUGCCUGAUGGAGGGGGAUAACUGCUGGAAACGGUAGCUAAUACCGCAUAACGUCGCAAGACCAAAGAGGGGGACCUUCGGGCCUCUUGCCAUCGGAUGUGCCCAGAUGGGAUUAGCUAGUAGGUGGGGUAACGGCUCACCUAGGCGACGAUCCCUAGCUGGUCUGAGAGGAUGCCAGCCACACUGGAACUGAGACACGGUCCAG
rnacentral:rRNA from 1 species